rnacentral:misc_RNA from 1 species
AACCCUCAAGCAUUGCUUGGUGUUGGGCGCUUGUCCCGCCUCGGGCGCGGACUCGCCUCAAAAACAUUGGCGGCCUGUGUAUGGGCUUCGAGCGCAGCAGAUUCGCGCCUCGCAACCCAGCGGCACGGGCGUCCAUCAAGACGAACCCCAA